ACGAGGAGGAGGAAGAGGAGGAGGAGGAAGGCGGCAAGGCUGAGGAAGGCGCCCCCCCCACGGCCCCCCCCGCGGUGACGCUGCCGGAGGAGGAGGAGGAGGAGGAGGAGGAGGAAGAAGAGACGGGCGCCCUGCUGAUGGAGGUGGAUGAAGGCCAGCCCCCCCCCUGCGAGGAGGAGGAGGAGGAGGGGGGGGGCCAGCAGCCCCCAGCGAAUCAGGAGGAGGAGGAGGAGAUGAUGGGGGGGAGGAAGGGCAGCUCCCCCCGGGUAGCCCCCAGCCCCCCCCGCCCCCCCACGAGGGUCCCCCCCCAGCCCUGGAAGCUGCGCCCCCCCCUUGUCCUCCGGAGCCGCCCCCCCCCGAGGGGCCCAAGGGGGACGGGGGCAGCCCCGAACCCCCCCCCUGCACCCCCCCCCGGACCCCCCUCAGCUGCAGGGAGAGGAGGAGGAGGAGGAGGAAGAGCCCCCGCCCCCCCCGGGCAAGGGAGAGGCCCCCGACCCCACGGCCUCCAUGCUGGCUGACUUCAUCGACUGCCCCCCCGACGCCGCCCCGUGACCCCGCCGGGACCCCCCCAACCUCAGAGCCCCCCCAGAGCCCCUCCCCUGCCCCUCACCAGACCCCGACCCCCCCAGAACAAAAUAAAGUUUCUAGAACCUUC